rnacentral:rRNA from 1 species
GACGAACGCUGGCGGCGUGCCUAAUACAUGCAAGUCGAGCGCAGGAAACUGACGGAACUCUUCGGAGGGAAGGCAGUGGAAUGAGCGGCGGACGGGUGAGUAACACGUAAGGAACCUGCCUCAAGGAUUGGGAUAACUCCGAGAAAUCGGAGCUAAUACCGGAUAGUUCAACGGACCGCAUGGUCCGCUGAUGAAAGGCGCUUCGGCGUCACCUUGAGAUGGCCUUGCGGUGCAUUAGCUAGUUGGUGGGGUAACGGCCCACCAAGGCGACGUUGCAUAGCCGACCGGGGGGGGUGAUCGGCCACACUAGGACUGAGACACGGCACAGCCUCCUACGGGAGGCAGCAGUAGGGAAUCUUCCACAAUGGACGAAAGUCUGAUGGAGCAACGCCGCGUGAGUGAUGAAGGUUUUCGGAUCGUAAAACUCUGUUGUAAGGGAAGAACACGUACGAGAGGAAAUGCUCGUACCUUGACGGUACCUUACGAGAAAGCCACGGCUAACUACGUGCCAGCCGCCGCGGUAA